rnacentral:rRNA from 1 species
GCAAGAUACCACGGGCGCACGGCGGAUGCCUUGGCACAGGGAGCCGAUGAAGGACGCGGCAAGCUGCGAUAAUCCCCGGCGAGGAGCACACAUCCUUCGACCCGGGGGUCUCCGAAUGGGCGAACCCAUCCACAGCAGUGUGGAUAUCCCCACCCCGAACACAUAAGGGUGGGGAGGACAACCCGGGGAACUGAAACAUCUAAGUACCCGGAGGAGAGGAAAUCAAUCUCGAGACUCCCCGAGUAGCGGCGAGCGAAAGGGGACCGAUGGCCAAACCGUCGAGCGGGCAUACCCGGCAGGGGUUCCGCCGACGGGGUUGCAGGGCCGCGCAUCCGGGGGCUGCCGCCCCCGGGCGCAGGUCCGGCUGGGGAGCGGAACGGCAUGGGAGGGCCGGCCGCAGCGGGUGACAGCCCCGUACGCGAACCCAGACCGGACGGCGCGACGCGGUCCCUGAGUAGGGCCGGGCACGUGAAACCCGGUCCGAACCUGGGUGGACCACCAUCCAAGCCUGAGUACUACCCUGUGACCGAUAGCGCACCAGUACCGUGAGGGAAAGGUGAAAAGCACCCCGGGAGGGGAGUGAAACAGUACCUGAAACCGUGCGCCCACGAGCAGUCGGAGCACCCUUGUGGUGUGACGGCGUGCCUUUUGUAGAAUGAGCCAGCGAGUCGCUGGCGCGGGGCGAGGUUAACCGAAAGGGAGCCGUAGCGAAAGCGAGCCUUAACAGGGCGACUUGAGUCCCGCGCCGCGGACGCGAAGCCGGGUGAGCUAUCCGUGGGCAGGCUGAAGCGGGGGUAAGACCCCGUGGAGGGCCGAACGCACGUCGGUUGAAAACGGCGGCGAUGACCUGCGGAUAGGGGUGAAAGGCCAAUCAAACCCGGAGAUAUCUCGUUCUCCCCGAAAUAGCUUUAGGGCUAGCGUCGCGCGUUCACCGCCGGAGGUAGAGCACCGGAUGGACGAGGGGGCUUCGCCGCCUACCGAAUCCAACCGAACUCCGAAUGCCGGCGGCCCAGAGCGCGGCAGUCAGAGCAUGUGGGCUAAGCUGUGUGCUCGAGAGGGAAACAGCCCGGACCGCCCGCUAAGGUCCCCAAGUUCCAGCCGAGUGGCAAAGGAUGUGCGUCCGCCCAGACAACCAGGAUGUUGGCUUAGAAGCAGCCAUGCAUUCAAAGAGUGCGUAACAGCUCACUGGUCGAGUGGACAUGCGCCGACAAUACACGGGGCUAAGCUGGACACCGAAGCGGCGGGAUUUUAAUUCAUUAGAAUCGGUAGGGGAGCUUCCCAUGGGCGGGGAAGCCGCCGGGCGACCGGCGGUGGAGCGCAUGGGAGUGAGAAUGCUGGCAUGAGUAGCGAGAGACGAGAGAGUAACUCGUCCGCCGUGAACCCGAGGUUUCCUGGGCAAGGCUAAUCCUCCCAGGGUCAGUCGGGGGCUAAGGCGAGGCCGGAAGGCGUAGCCGACGCGCAGCAGGCAGACAUUCCUGCACCGCGCACGCGGCGCUACGACCGACGGGGCGACGGAUGGGGGUGGCUCGGCGGGGUUCUGGACGUCCCCGUGAUGGAGCGCGGCCCGCGGACCAGGGAAAUCCGGUCCGCACGAGGGCGAGGCUCCGGACGAAGCGAUCAAGCGAAGCGAGUGAGCCCGAGGUCCCUAGAAAAACCCCUAGGCAGGCGCGUGCGCGCCCGUACCGCAAACCGACACAGGUGGGUGGGUAGAACAUACCGAGGCGAUCGGGUCAACCAUGGUCAAGGAACUCGGCACAAUGGCCCCGUAACUUCGGGAGAAGGGGUGCCCGCGCGUACGUGAACGGACUUGCUCCGGGAGCGGAGGCGGGCCGCAGUGGAGAGGCCCAAGCGACUGUUUACCAAAAACACAGGACUCUGCAGAAGCCGCAAGGCGACGUAUAGGGUCUGACGCCUGCCCGGUGCCGGAAGGUCACGCGGAGGAGUUAGCCGCAAGGCGAAGCCCCGAAGCCAAGCCCCGGUAAACGGCGGCCGUAACUAUAACGGUCCUAAGGUAGCGAAAUUCCUUGUCGGGUAAGUUCCGACCUGC